rnacentral:tRNA from 1 species
UUAAUUGAAACCAAAAAAGAGGUAAAUUAUUGUUAAUAAUUUAAUUGAAUAAAAGAAUAUUCCAAUUAAG